rnacentral:siRNA from 1 species
CUGUGAUGCCCUUAGAUGUUCU